UACCAGCACCCCGAGUGGUCGGGACGUAUAUUGGGCCUAAAGCAUCCGUAGCCGGUUCUACAAGUCUUCCGUUAAAUCCAGCUGCUUAACAGAUGGGCUGCGGAAGAUACUAUGGAGCUAGGAGGCGGGAGAGGCAAGCGGUACUCGAUGGGUAGGGGUAAAAUCCGUUGAUCCAUUGAAGACCACCAGUGGCGAAGGCGGCUUGCCAGAACGCGCUCGACGGUGAGGGAUGAAAGCUGGGGGAGCAAACCGG
rnacentral:rRNA from 1 species